rnacentral:rRNA from 1 species
GCAACGACCGUACCGCAAACCGACACUGGUGCGCGAGAUGAGUAUUCUAAGGCGCUUGAGAGAACUCAGGAGAAGGAACUCGGCAAAUUGACACCGUAACUUCGGAAGAAGGUGUGCCCUAUUAGUGUGUAGUGAACAACGAAGCACGAAUGGGUUGCAAAAAAUCGGUGGCUGCGACUGUUUAUUAAAAACACAGCGCUCUGCAAACACGAAAGUGGACGUAUAGGGUGUGACGCCUGCCCGGUGCUGGAAGAUUAAAUGAUGGGGUGCAAGCUCUUGAUUGAAGUCCCAGUAAACGGCGGCCGUAACUAUAACGGUCCUAAGGUAGCGAAAUUCCUUGUCGGGUAAGUUCCGACCUGCACGAAUGGCGUAACGAUGGCCACACUGUCUCCUCCUGAGACUCAGCGAAGUUGAAAUGAUGAUGAUGCAAUCUCCCCGCGGAAAGACGGAAAGACCCCAUGAACCUUUACUGUAGCUUUGUAUUGGACUUUGAACAGAUCUGUGUAGGAUAGGUGGGAGGCUUUGAAGCAGGGUCGCUAGAUCUUGUGGAGCCAACGUUGAGAUACCACCCUGGUGUGUUUGAGGUUCUAACCUAGGUCCAUUAUCUGGAUCGGGGACAGUGCAUGGUAGGCAGUUUGACUGGGGCGGUCUCCUCCCAAAGCGUAACGGAGGAGUUCGAAGGUACGCUAGUUACGGUCGGACAUCGUGACGAUAGUGCAAUGGCAUAAGCGUGCUUAACUGCGAGACUGACAAGUCGAGCAGAUGCGAAAGCAGGACAUAGUGAUCCGGUGGUUCUGUAUGGAAGGGCCAUCGCUCAACGGAUAAAAGGUACUCUGGGGAUAACAGGCUGAUACCGCCCAAGAGUUCAUAUCGACGGCGGUGUUUGGCACCUUGAUGUCGGCUCAUCUCAUCCUGGGGCUGUAGCCGGUCCCAAGGGUAUGGCUGUUCGCCAUUUAAAGAGGUACGUGAGCUGGGUUUAAAACGUCGUGAGACAGUUUGGUCCCUAUCUUCCGUGGGCGCUGCAGAUUUGAGGAAGCCUGCUCCUAGUACGAGAGGACCGGAGUGGACACACCUCUGGUGUAUCGGUUGUCACGCCAGUGGCAUUGCCGAGUAGCUAAGUGUGGAAGAGAUAACCGCUGAAAGCAUCUAAGCGGGAAACUCGUUUCAAGAUGAGAUCUGCCGGGGCCUUGAGCCCCCUAAAGAGUCGUUCAAGACCAGGACGUUGAUAGGUCAGGUGUGGAAGCUAA